rfam:Verrucomicrobiaceae bacterium TMED76 70587, whole genome shotgun sequence.
UAAUCCCUACUGUGUUCGCACUGCAAACAUGGGCCCGGCCCGUUAGUAUAUAUAAGGGAGGCUUAGCCGGUUGUUUGAUGUCAGGCCUUCACUGGAAGGCAGAUUUCAGCAAGGCGGCCACCCACCUGGAAUGAACCGGGAAACGUGAGCCCUCACCAGCUGCUGACGGCACAAGCGGGGAAACC